GAGAUGGCCGAGUGGUUUAAGGCGUAGCAUUGGAAUUGCUAUGUAGGCUUUUGUUUACCGAGGGUUCGAAUCCUUUGUAAAGCA
rnacentral:tRNA from 1 species